GGAGAAAGUCAUAAUGGUUAUGUGAUUGGCUUGAAACCGAUUGUAGGGGGUUCGAUUCCUUCCUUUCUUA
rnacentral:tRNA from 1 species